AGUAUAUCCUUGGAAGGUUGCCUCGGCCGCUAACUGAGACAAAAGUAGUUCAAAUCUAUUUAUAUACUU
rnacentral:tRNA from 1 species